UACCCCACCUAUAUAUAUAACUGGCCUAUCUUUCAAAAAAGGGACUAAUCAAAUCCAUGAAGCCUACGACAUCGGCUGAAGUUCGGUUGUGUGUUGUGAUGAAGGAAGCAGAGUGACAAGUUAAGACGCGUUCAAUUAUAAUUUUUAGUGAAUUGUGACGCUAAUACGAUUGUUCGUUUUCUGGGAUAGCUUCAAUUCGAACAAACUUUGUGCGGAUGAAUGAAAAUUGCCUCAUUGUAUCCGAUCCAAGCCAUUGCUAUCGCUAUCGUAGCAGUAGAAAAAUCUUCAACACAGUGAACAUCGAAGGGGUCGAACAAGCGCUUGGGAAAGUGAAGCGGCGGAGGUGGCGACACUGUGAAAGUUGCGAGCGCGGGAAUUAAUGCCUGCUUUGAAAACUGUCGUCAAAACGUAACCAAAACAUCGUCAAAUCGCUCGAAGUGGAAAGAAGUCAGUCGCCGAAACGGAAUAAACAAUAACAAUUCGGAACGAAGCAUUAGCUUUUUUAACUUUUGGCAAACGUUCCAAAACGUAAAAAAGGCAAUUGUUCCGCGAAUUGAGGAAAACUGAAGUACUACCAAAAUGCCCCGAUUGAAGAAAAAAGAAGUGUCUUCGUCGUCGCCUGAUGCUGGGUUAACGCUUACGGCGGGCCGGUCUCGUCGUACAAUUAAACCAAACCGCAAAUAUCUUAACGAUAGUGUAGUAUUGGCCACCACCUCGAAAGGUUCGUCCCGCUCCAGCAGUCCGGAUAGCGAUGCUAGCGGAGAUGAGUACAGACAGGAAGAGGAGGAGGAUGAUGAGGUGGUGCCGCGAUCGGCAGCCGGAAGAAAAAGUUUGUCUGCGAAUCCAGCGGUAGCUAGAAAGGGUCCCGCAAGCGCCACGCCUGGCGCAAAACCCCGUGGGCGGCCGCCAAAGUAUGGCACUCCGAGAACGGAACCCGUAAAAAACUUACGGAAGGAAGUUUUGAAAAAGAUGGAUUUGACUACACUCAAUUUGGGCAAAGCUCGGGUGCUGCUAACGCCAAUCAACAAACAGGUUAUCAAGCGGAAGCUGGAGUUGGAGGAGUUACCGGAUAAAGACGAACCACUUCCAACCAGAAGUAAGGAAGCAGAACGGACGAAGGCACGGGAGCCUGAGAAACAAAAGGCGAAAAUACCGGUUAAACCAAGUGAACCUGAAAAAUUACAAAAGGUGAAAAUACCGGUAAAACAAAGUGAACACGAAAGACCACAAAAGCCGAAGGUACUGGUAAAGCAGAGCGAGCCCGAGAAACCACAAAAGGCAAAUAUACCGGUAAAACAAAAUGAGCCCGAGAAACCACAAAGGGCAAAGAUACCGGUAAAACAAAAUGAGCCCGAAAAACCACAAAAGGCAAUCCCAAGAGAUGACAAAGCACCUGCAGUCCGAAAAGUACAACCGGUAGCUCCCGCCCCGAAGAAAGGUUCUCCAGUUCAGGCUAAAGUCAUCAAUCCCGUGGCGGUCAAGAAACAAAUGGUGGAAAAGUCGAUUCUGGAUAAACGGUUCAAAAAUGCCGAAAAAACAACGCCUUCGUAUGAAGAUGAGACUGAUGAAGACGAUGAUGAUAAUGACUUUGAUAACAUCGACGAUGAUGAUUAUGUUGAUGAUUACGAGGAAGAUGAAGAAGAAGAUGAUGAGGACGAAGAUGACGAAGUUCAAAUCGUUGGAUUCAGCAGGGGUUCGUCGCAAAAUAAGAAAACCACGCGGAAAAGUCCCAUGGUGACGAAACCGAUUGCAGCCGGAAAUGAAACGAUAGUGAAGCCGUACGUGAGGACAGUAACUCCUUCAGCGAUUGGAAGCGGGCUAAAAAGGAAAGCUAUCGAAAUGGAAGCGGGAGAAGUAUCUCAACAAGUAACGAAACGACCCCGAGGCAGGCCUCCGAGGAUUGUUAAACCGUCAAUUUCACUAGAAUCCGAGGGCGAACAUAAUUCCACUUUGGAUUCCGAUUCUGAACCUCUUCUUCGAACCAGCCGUACAAGAUUCUCCUCGGACAAAGGAUCUGCCACAUCAUCUCCUCAAAAUGUGACGAAUGCUGAUAAAUCUAUGAGCUCUUCAAAAACUACAAAAGAAUCCGAGAUAAACAGAAGUAAUCUAACGAAGGCACACAGUUUGCCAGCAUUGGACAAAACAAGAAUCGUCGGAAAAACAUUUGGUCUGAAGUCACCUCUAAUUUCAUCCGUUGGUAGGCCGAUUUUGCCGAAACCAGCUGCCCAAUCGACUCCCAAGCCUCAUCACGGUGGCUCUCCGGUCGAGAAAAAAAGCAAAUCGGAACAGAAUCUUCUUGAUCCGUUUUGUUCGCCCGAGCGCGACUUGAAGAAAACGGAAUCUAACAAACCGAAAACGGCAACAAUAAGAAUUGUUGACAUAGGCGAUAUAAUGAACAAAAAGUCCAUCAGUUCACCGGAUGUUCGCAAGGUUGGAGCCAGGAAAAGCAUGCCAAAAUCGGAUACGGAUGAGGACGAGGAGGAUUCAGAUGAUUUUUCAAGCCCACCACAAAAGGCAAACUCAGCGGAGAAGCCAAAGACUAACAACCAGCUGGUGGCAUCGAUUUUGGAACGGAAGCGACCGAUCAAUUUGGAUCACUUGCGAGCGAAUCGACCGGUCAAGCGAGGUCGACCUCCAAACGUCACCCGGAAUCAACCUGCAGCGGAAAGAGCAUCUCAGAAACCAACCCGACCGUUGGUUGCUAAUGUUGCGGGGGAAGAGGAAAUUGAUUUUGAGGACAUGCUACAAACCAACAUAGUUACAGCAAACAAAGUUCAAAAAGUAAACACACCAGGCAGCAUGCGAGAUCGUCGAAGGCCUUCGCAACAUGAUGAGAACACCAUGAAAUCAGCCUCGGGAAAUAGAACAGUGCCAUCGAACAAAAGUUCUGGUGUGAAAACGCUCGCUUCCAGCAACAACAACAAUUAUGUGUACAAAUCCAACAACAACGGUCGGUUUGGAUCGCAAGGCGCUCUCAAUCGAUCCGGUUCCACAAGUCCCCAGAAGAACCCACCCCGAAUUCUCAACUCGACGAUGAAACUGGGAGAUAAUCGACAAUUUGCCAAGCUGGUUCCCAAUAGCGACAACAAGCACUACUCGAUCGAUCUGACGGAUCCGGAUAACAACGUGAAGCUGAUAGCAUCGCCCGAUUCACCUCCUUCUUCUCCCCUCAAACGAUCUCCGAUAAAAAGCAUUUCGCGACCGAUUGUGAGCUCGACCGGGUUGCGGAAUGCUUCCAAUGCACUAAACAAGCCCGUUGGUGGUGCAGUUCAGCGAUCAAUUUCGUCGCUCACCAGUUCUGCUGGUAGCAGCCCCAAAAUGAAGAAAAUUACCUGUUAUGAAACCUGGUACGUCAUCAACAUCCCGAACAAUGAGAAUAAACCGGAGCGACCGUCUUUCGAGAUGACGAUGAUCGGACUGGGCAACGAGGCAUCCAAAAUUCAGCUUCCCUCGGCGGAGUGGUCCCACAAAAUAAUUCUCACGAAGCGGAAACUUCCACCGAACGAGGGUGAGGAAGUUUUCAGUGGGGAAGUGGAAGACCGGGCGAUCACCGAUGAGGAAAAGCGUAACUACGAACCAUGCAAUAUCAUGUUCCGCCGGAAGACGGCCACACCGGGCAAAUUCAAUCUGCAGUACGAUCGGGCGGUCAUUUUCAAGAACGACACCUUCUUCAUAAAUGUCGAUGGCAAGAAUUGUCAACUCGUGGGAGCACCCACAAAGCUCGAUGGAACCGAAGAUAUCGAGACGCUGCUGGCCGUGGUGGACUUUGUUAAUUUGAAAAAUACCUGUGUCGAGUUGUCGGCUGCCUAGAAUAAUGGAUAGGUUAAUCGCGACGACGAUAUCCGAACAGGGUCUGUAAAUAGCCUUCACUAAACAUACCAUCUAACAAGAGCACAGAGAAAAUAAACCGAAGUGGUUUAUCAUGUCUAUAAGAAGAGUGGUUUAUGAUCGAAAGUGUAUCCGUUCAGAGGAUGCCGUGAACUGGAAUGGAACACCGGAAAUUUGACUGGAUGGAACACCGGAAAUUUAACAGAUUUUUUGUUUUGGAAAAAAAAACUUAUUAAUUUAGGAUUAGUGUGUUGUGUUUUUGCUGAAAAUGUUUUAAGUUUCCAAACUUAACUCGUGAAUUUGUAGUAUGUAAAUAGAAGCACUCAAUUUCAACAGACCUAUGAUUAAUAAACAUAUUCUGGAUGCUGGAUUUUGAAGAUUAUCGACAUUAUAGCACAAGCAUCAACUGAUAAUGAUUACUGAUAAAUAAUUUGUAAUAACAUACUAAACUUUAUUCAGUUACAAUAAAAAUAAAAACAAUAGAUGA